UCAAGAGUAGCGUAGCGGAGGGGAAACACCCGUUCCCAUCCCGAACACGGCAGUGAAGCCCUCCAGCGCCGAUGGUACUGCCUGGGCAACCGGGUUGCCGGGAUAAGAAAACUCCCGGU
rnacentral:rRNA from 1 species